rnacentral:rRNA from 1 species
AGAGUUUGAUCCUGGCUCAGAACGAACGUUGGCGGCGUGCUUAACACAUGCAAGUCGUACGAGAAAGUUCCUUCGGGGACGAGUAAAAUGGCGCACGGGUGAGUAACACGUAGAUAAUCUGUCCAGGUGUUUGGGAUAGCCCUUCGAAAGGGGGAUUAAUACCGAAUACGUUAGUCUAUCAUAAGGUAGAUUAAGAAAGGUGGCCUCUAUUUAUAAGCUAUCGCAUUUGGAGGAGUCUGCGUACCAUUAGUUUGUUGGUGGGGUAAUGGCCUACCAAGACUUCGAUGGUCAGCGGGUCUGAGAGGAUGAUCCGUCACACUGGCACUGAAACACGGGCCAGACUCCUACGGGAGGCAGCAGUGAGGAAUAUUGCGCAAUGGGGGAAACCCUGACGCAGCGACGCCGCGUGGGUGAGGAAGGCUUUCGGGUCGUAAAGCCCUGUCAGGUGGGAAGAAAUGGUUAUAGGCUAAUACCUUAUAGCUUUGACGGUACCACCAAAGGAAGCACCGGCUAACUCCGUGCCAGCAGCCGCGGUAAUACGGAGGGUGCAAACGUUGUUCGGAAUCACUGGGCGUAAAGGGCGCGCAGGCGGUUUGAUUAGUCAGAUGUGAAAGCCCACGGCUUAACCGUGGAAGUGCAUU